GGUUCUAUAUUUUAAUGGUUAGCACUCUGGACUCUGAAUCCAGCGAUCCGAGUUCAAAUCUCGGUAGGACCU
rnacentral:tRNA from 1 species